rnacentral:rRNA from 1 species
GUCUACGGCCAUGCUACCCUGAACAAGCCCAAUCCCGUCUGAUCUCGGAAGCUAAGCAGGGUCGGGCCUGGUUAGUACUUGGAUGGGAGACCACCUAGGAAGACCAGGUGCUAUAGGCA